GGAAGGGUUCCUGCAGGCCAAUUGGCCGCCACCAGCUGCUAAGAGGGACCCACUGGCUAUGGGGAACUGAUGCUCACUGCUAAAGCUGAUCUCACGCUGUCACUUCCCUACGACCCAUCUCAGGAUGAAGAAUCAGCUCCUAUCUAAGACAUCUCUGAUCUCCAAGAGAGGGAAAAAAAUAAAUGGAGAAGCAACAUAAUUUUUCAUAAAUCUUCUGUUCAGAAGUGGCACAUAUCACUUCUAGUCGUAUUCAAUUGGCCAAAGCAAGUCACAUGGCCAAAUGUGGCUUCAAUGAGUAAAGCAUGUGGCAAGAGGAAAGGCCUGGAACAGUAGAGAGAAAGAAAAUAGGCUUUCAAGUUAGAAGACUUGAAUUUGAGUACUAGAUGCCCAAAUUACCAGUGCCCUGUAGAGAACCUAAACAAAUUAGGAGACCAACAAUGGCUGAUCUGUGAUCUUCUGAUGUCAGAGAUUGUGCAUAUACAUGUUAAUAUGGAGGAAUGGCAGGGAGACAUCAAAUGGAGAAUCUCUGUCUUGGAAACUAUGCAUCAUGUAGGAGAGCAAGAGCAAGAAAUAAAUUUUUACUGUUUUAAGCCACUGAGAUUUUCAGGCUGUUCC
rnacentral:lncRNA from 1 species